CUUUUAUUGUUCUUUGAAUGAUACUCCUUUUCACUUCUCCAGAGUUUAUAUUGUUUCAUGAUUCUUAGAACUAUGAAUUGAAGUUUUUGCAACAUUCUGUUUUUCCACAUCCCUGGAAGGCAUAAACAUUUUGAUCUCCUUUAAUGUUUGAUAUAAGUUUAUGUCCAUCUUGUUGUUAUUAUUGUUUAAAAGGGGUAUCUUUUAUACUGACCAUUUAGUUAGAGGAUAAGCCUGGAGGCCAAAGAAUGGAUUUAAUUUCACCACAAUUUCUAUUCAGAACAGAUUGUAACCAAACCAAUAGUCACUGUUUUCAAUUCUUUAUCUUUAACAAAAAUCCAUGAAGAAAUUAUUUAUAAUAAAAAAAUCUUCAAAUCAUCCAAACAUUUUUGCCUAAAAUUCCAUUUUACCUUGAAAUAAUUAGAAGUUAAACUUCUGCCUCAGUGCACAAUAUUAUAAUCUCAUAUGGCUCAGCAUAAUUAUUUACUUCUGAGUUUUGAAAUCUACAGUAUGAUCAGGAUAGGGUGAAAUCACCCUCCUCUAAUUCAUUGAUACAUGCCAAAGGUCUUGCCUUAGUAGCUGAUUUUUGUGAGUUGUGAUUAAAAACAAAACCAGCAUCUGGCACCCAGCCCUCUAGAGAGAAGGAAGUGUACCUACUACACUUAGGUAGCUGGAUUGGAUCAUCAAUGACAGAUUAGGACUUGAAGCUCUUCCAGUGUGGUGACACCAGCCAGAACUUGUAUUCCAAGGUAAUUGUUUUGAAUAAUGCAGGGUCACCUCCGUGCCAUCAUUAGGCGCUAGAUGAAGGCUUUAAGUAGGCAUCAAUAUAUUACUGUGACCUAUUUUUAAAUACUUCAGUCAUACUUUCAGCUAACAAUAAGAAACGGACUUAAAAUGGCCAUCACAUGAAAUAUGAUUAAAGGGAGCAAAACUUUAUUUUGAUACAGAAUCACAGAGUAUCGGAAUUGGAGGGAAUCUUAAAAAUCAGUCAGUCCAAUUCAGACUUGUAAUCUGAAAUCCCUUCUACAACCUCUCUGAAAAGUGUGUAUUCAUCCUUAGAAUACUUUCUAUAAUGGGGAAUUCAUUACAUACCAAGUGAAAUCAUUCCAUAUUCAGACAACUUAUUUUUAGGAGGUUUGAUCAAUCAAUCAAGUAUGUAUUAAGGACCUAUUGUUUGCAGAUUUGAUGAUCUUUCUUUUAUAGAGCACAUUGAAACAAGCAAAAAAAAAAAAAAAGGAGGGAACACAAUGGUACAAUGGCUAAAAGCCACUAAAUUGUAAGUCAGAAGACUUGGAUUCAGAUUCUACUUCUGCUACAUAUUAUGUAUGUGACAUUGUGCAAGUCACUUAAUUUAUGUGUCCCUCCAUUUCAUUUUCUGUAAAAUGAAAGACUAGGACAAAGGCUCUCAAGUCUCAUCCAGAUCUAAAUCUAUAAUUCUAUGAUCUUGUGAACUUUGUUUCAUCAUAUUGUAGGCACAUAGAGGAGGAAAACUGAAGCAACUAAUGGGGAGAACAAACAUCAAGCCAGCUGUAAAAGUGAAUCUGUGUUUAUUGCAGCAAUUGAAAUUGCAAGCUUUAUAAAAGGUUCAUCAGAAUCUGCUAUUCUGAAGGCUCUGGAAAACCUUCACAGAGUUCUAAGCACCCCAUUAAGUACAAAUGCAUUUCAGUUAAGUAUCUUGUGUGUAUGUAAUUGAGAAUUUCAAUUGGCAUGAAUUUAAAGAAUAGUAACAAAAGGACAGAAAAAGAAAAAUCCAGGCUUUUCAGCCAUCACUGGUCAUCUUCAAGCAUGCUUUUCCCCUCUGUGGUCUUUCUAUUGCUUCCUUUUUACCCUCUCUCCAUGGAUUCUAUUAUACAACAUUUACACAUGCAUAUAUAACACAUUCAUAUAAAAUUGUAUGUAUGCAUAUGCUAUACAUUACAUGUAUGUGUUUGCAGACAUGCAUGCAUUUAUUUUGCAGGAUGCAAUUUUGGCAUCUUAAUAAUUAAUUGAUCUCAUACCCAGCCCAAAUGUAUUGUCCCUGCUCUCAUUCAUGCAUAUCCGUUCAAUGAAAAAAUUGUUAUAUUACAUAUUUUUUCAAAGGAUUUUUUCUGUCAGUCCCAACUCCAUUUGGAAGAUCAGAGCUCCUUUACUGUUAAUCCUGAGUCUCACCUGUACUUCUCAAAAGAAGAGAUAUUCAUUCUGUUAUUGGAUUGGAGAGUGUAACUGAAUACUCUUAACUUAGUGGGUAAUAAAAUCAACUUAGGGAAUGAUUCAAGGAAGAAAAACUUCAGGUAAAGUUUGGUGUCAAGUGCAUUUGUGGUAGGAUGGGAGGCUCAAUUAUCCAAAUAAAUAUAGGAAAAUGGAUCAUACAAUCAAUCAAAAGGCAUUUAUUAAGCUGGAAGCACAAAGAUAAAAAUUAAACAGUUCCAGUCCUCAAGGAGCUUACAUUCUAUUAUUCUGUUUAUUGCCAACAGUAAAUGUAGGCAGUAAAGAUGGAGAUAGGUGAACUUUAUGUGUGAUCAGGAGUAGCAAUUCUGUAAAGAAGAAAUAGAAACUUCUGUUUGAAAGGUUCCCAACUUUCUUUUGGUUGGGUAAACAGAUGACCUGGCUCUACAACUUUCUACUUGGGUGACUUAGAUGAAGUCACUUCUCUUCUCUACACAUUAGUUUCCUCAUCAAUCUAAUAAGAUUGGGUAGACCAGAUGACCUCUAGGAUCCCUUUCACAUCUAUUUGAGAUUUCCCUGGAAAACAAUGGAGUUCAUGAGAGACUAUAUUCAUAAGUUUAACAGCAUUCAGUCCAAGCCAUAUGAUGACUUAACCUAACAAACACCGAGAGAAACCUUUCUUUUAGGGCUGCUGAAUCUUUUUUGCUGGGGCUAAUUAAGAUAUACCCUCUCAAUCCCCUGAGGAUCACACUGAUGCCUCUUGUAAGUUCAAAGUCAUAAGCUAUAUUCCAGCAAGCUCAAGAGAUUAAUAUCCAGCUAUUAUUAUGAAUUAUUCUGUUGUGUUGAGUUAAUGUGACUCUUUUGUUCUAAUUAAAGGACCAACUUGGCAUCUGAAUAGAAGCUUAGCCAGUACAGUUAAAGUCCUGUGUUAAUGAACUACAUAUUUUUUUCAAUUAAAAUACCUAAUUAGUUUAUUAUCUAGCAGGCUUAGUAAAUAAGAAUGCUCAGCUAUUUCAAGAAAACCCUUUCAAUCCAUCUUUAUGCAGAUAGCCAAUAGCCCCAGUGUCUCUUUAUUCUAAUUGAAAUUUUGGUCUCAUUUGCUAGUGCCAUUUUUGUUAUUUCCUAUGUAUCUUCUAGAUGAGCAACUCAAGAUAAAAGGAUGUUUUGCUGAAGCUUUCUCAUUAGAAGAAUAGUCUUUUUCAGGUUAUCAAAUUUGGGGGAUGUUUUUAUUCCAGUGUUUUUGAAAUUAUUGGGGAAAGGAGUGUAGUAUAGGGGGGAGGCAUUAAUUCUAGAAUCAGUGAUGCCUUGGAAUCAAAUCCUAGCUCUGUCAUUUCCCACUAUGUGACCUAGAGUAGUCAUCACUUAAUCUCUUUGGCACUCAAUUCAUUCAUUUGUAAAAUAAAAGUGUUGGAAUUGAUGAACUUUAAAUCUCCUCCCACUCCUGCACCCAUGAUCCUCUCUUUCAUAGGGAAGCUCUACACUAAUAUAUUUAAAAGUGGUUCACCUACUCACCCCCAAAGAGAUUAUAAAUCAUUUCUGUUGAGAGGUCCCAGUAGAUUUCUCUUCAUUCAUUGGAUAUUCACGUGUGAUAGACAAAGGUUUAAUAAUAAUUGUGCCCAAUGCUCCAAGCUUCCCCAGUGAGCUCUUAUAGAGAAUAUAUGUGGGUUUAUUUUAAAAACAGUGGGAAAAUCCUCCAUAGUAUUUGGCUGUGCUUUUUUUUUUAAAGCAGCUUGGCAAACUAAAGGAAAGCCCAUAAUGUGGACAGUUGCUUUUUGAGAUUUUGUUUGCAAUGGUGAUUUAAGCCAUUUCCUCCCCAAUUAUUUGAAUCAUGCAUGCAAAACCAUCAUUUAAAGCUAUGAUUUAAACUUGAGAACAUGAGAAAGCACCCAACAGGAUGAUAAUAUACAACAUAGUAUAAUAGUACACCAAAAAAGGGGGAAAUCAUUCCAAUAUUAGCCAAAGAAAUUCCAAGCCCUAUAUCUCUUUGUUCAGGUUAAAUUCAGUUUCUUAAAAUCCUUCAGAGAGGUGUCAACAUCUUUUCUUUGUGCAUGAAUUUCUUAAUAUUGAAUCCUGCUUUAAAAAAAACAAUAUAGGUUAGAAAUGGGGUAUCAUUUCAUAUUUAUAGUUUUUCAUUAUAGUCAUUAUUGGCAGUGUCUAAAAUGGGCAUAGACCCACAUAAACUGAUAGUUAAGUAGGUGCUGCUGAACAUCUCAUUAAAAUUCAGGAGUUUAGAAAUAAACUGUUAUAAUUUGUCCAUAAUCUAUUACUAUUCACUAUUACAAAUUAAAAGAAAAAACAAACAAUAUGAUCGAUGAAGCAGUGAAAUAAUGUUUUCUACUCCAAGCAGAGGAGAAAUUCUACUUUUUACAUCUAGCUCCUAUGACAACCUGUGACCUACCUGGAAAAGUACUUUGUAGCUUGAAAUAUAGAGAAAAUGUGAGUAGGAUGCCCCAUCCAGGUAGAUGAUAGGAAUGAAUAUGUUAUACUUCAAUCACAUAAUGAUUUGCACACAAUGGGAAAAAAGUAAUAAAUGAAGGCAUAGUAUUUUCCUAUAUAUAGGAUAUUGAUUCAGAAAUUAAAAGUAUAUAUGUACAAUGUAAUGACAAUGUUUAAAAUAAGCUUUUUUAAAAAAAAUAAAUGGAG
rnacentral:lncRNA from 1 species